UACGAAGGUCCCGAGCGUUAUCCGGAUUUAUUGGGUUUAAAGGGUGCGUAGGCGGGUUAUUAAGUCAGUGGUGAAAGCCUACAGCUUAACUGUAGAAUUGCCAUUGAUACUGAUGAUCUUGAGUAUGAUUGAGGUGGGCGGAAUGUGUCAUGUAGCGGUGAAAUGCUUAGAUAUGACACAGAACACCGAUUGCGAAGGCAGCCUACUGGAGGUUUACCGACGCUCAGGCACGAAAGCGUGGGGAUCAAACAGG
rnacentral:rRNA from 1 species